GGAAAACAAUGAGAAGAAGCAGCAUGUCUCACGAAGUGCUGGGAAAAAGUAAGAUAAGAGAGAAGCUGCAUUCCUGGCACAGUACCAGAUGUGCUGUAUUA